NNNNNNGUCCACAGGCCAGCCGAAGAGGCUCCAGCAGCCUGGGACCCCUGGCCCGUCAAGGCCACUGGCUCUUCCCCCGCAGCAUCACCACCCGAACCAGUGAUAACCAGCUCAGGACCCUGGUCUGCCACUGCCGCAGGAGGCAACGGGGGAGGGCUGGCUCCAGCCGCAGGCUCAGGCGAUGCCUGCGAACCCGAGGCGGGGGGGUUUGGAAGCAGUUCAGCACAGCCCGCCUUCAGCACCGGGAAGGACCGGGGCGCCGGUACAGGCACAGCCUGUGAAGCCGCGGCACCGUCCUGCUCCACUGCCAGGGAACAGCCCGGUCUCGCAGGGGGAAAAAGUGGCAGCGUGGGGUCAGCAGAACCCGGCCCGGUGUCUGCAGCACUUGCAGAACCUGCCCCCACGCCACACGAAUCUGGAGUGGGGGGGGCAGCGUGUGGGGCUGCGGCGCGGAGCCCGGGCCCGGCCCGUCCCCCACCGCGGGGUAUGGCACGGCCCAGCUGCAGCAGGGACAUGGGAUAGAGGCGUCCCCCAGAGGCAGCGCCGCCCCCCGUUCAAGCACCCCCACCUCGGUCUGUGCCAGGAGGGCACACGGAGGAGGCGACCCCACCCCGGGUUUCCACCGCCGGGGCGCCGGCUGGGGUGGCGUUACACCCCCCGGGGCCACGGCGCCCCCAACGGCCCGCUGGCAAGGCUCCAAGGCCGCCUCAGGCUUACACCACCGCGGCGCUGGCUGAGGCGGGGUCACGCCCAUCGAUCCCGCGGCGCCCCCAUUCAACCUGCUGGGGGCCCCGGCGAUCCUGGGGGAGCCGACCGUGGGACCCGACCUCAGAAAGCCGCACCUUCCCCAGAUCCCGAGCAGCUGGAGCAGCUGGGGCUCAUAACCGACCAGCAGAGCCUCGAUCAGAGAAUCUCCUACAGCGUCCCAAACUGACUGCGAAAAAAUCGCUUCAACCACAGGGAAAAACCCCUCAGUUCUCCCAUACUCACACAAUUGCUGGAAGUCAGCAUACGAAACAUCAAUCCCCCUCUGAUCAGAC
rnacentral:lncRNA from 1 species